rnacentral:misc_RNA from 1 species
AAAGUGCUAUGUGCGUGACACAAAUCCACCAGUAGUGGUCAGACCAAGGCCCCAAGUUUAGCAUACUGAUAUCAACUGGUUUUCCGACAGAUUCACCAUGAGACUCCGAGUAAGUGGCCAGAUAUAUACAUGUUUGAGACGCCGAUACACCACAGUCACAGGCUCAGCCGCACAGGUGCAGCAGCCACUCAACUAUGUCAACGGUCAGCGUGAUCAACCCCAAGGACGAGACCAAGCCAGCAGAUUUGAUCUUAUAAAUCCUGCUACAGGGGAAGUUCUGCGGCAGGUACAGAAUUCUGGAGUGGAGGAAGUAGAUGGCGCUAUCAGAGCAGCUCAACAGGCACUUCCGUCCUGGUCCCGACAGUCAGGGUUUGACAGGGGCCAGGUCUUGAGAAAGGCGGCACAGCUGAUUAGGGAGAGGUGUGAGGAACUGGCACGGACAGAGGUGUUGGACACAGGGAAGCCGAUCUGGGAGGCUCGCUAUGACAUUCAGGGGUGUGCCGACACCAUCGACUACUACGGGGGGCUUGCAGCAGCAAUAACAGGCGAGUUCACUCAGCUGGCAGGGGGGUCAUUUGCCUACACAAUCCGUGAAGCCUUGGGAGUGGUAGGGGCUAUAGGGGCGUGGAACUACCCCUUCCAGAUGGCGGCCUGGAAGUCCUCUCCUGCACUAGCAUGCGGCAACACCGUCGUCUUCAAACCCUCGCCAUUCACACCGCUAACAGCCGUUAUGUUGGGGGAGAUAUACAGAGAGGCAGGGCUGCUGGAUGGAGGUUAUAAUGUUAUUCAGGGUGAAGGGGAGACUGGACAGUUACUGUGUCGGCAUCCAGGAGUGGCCAAGAUGUCCUUCACAGGGAGCGUCCCCACAGGAUCCCGCAUUAUGGAAGCAUGUGCCCAGGACAUCAAGUAUGUUACACUGGAGCUGGGAGGAAAGUCUCCUCUCAUCAUCUUCUCAGAUGCGGACAUAGACAAUGCUGUGAAAGGGGCGAUGUUAGCCAACUUCAGCAACCAGGGCCAGGUGUGCUCCAACGGAACACGAGUGUUUGUCCAGAAGGAUGUUGCCCAACAGUUCCUGGAGAAACUGGUGGAGCGCACACGAAAGAUGAAGAUUGGUGAUCCAAAUGCAGAAGACACGACAGUGGGAGCCACCAUCAGCAGCAGUCAAGCAGACAAGGUCAUGGCGUACGUUGAGGGGGCGAAGAAAGAGGGUGCUACUGUGGUGUAUGGCGGAGAACGUGUGUCUGUAUCUGACCCGUGGCUCGCCGGUGGGCACUAUCUGUCUCCCUGCAUACUGGCAGACUGCCACGACGACAUGACUGUAGUUCGUGAGGAAGUGUUCGGUAGUGUCAUGUCGGUGUUGACCUUUGACACAGAAGAGGAAGUGUUGAGGCGAGCCAAUGACACAGAGUUUGGCCUUGCUGGAGGCGUGUUUACCAGGGACCUAAGUCGGGCCCACCGUGUGGCAGCGGGGAUGGAGGCAGGGUCUCUCUACGUCAACAACUACAACAUCUACCCCGUCGGGGUCCCCUUUGGAGGAUACAAGAAAUCAGGAAUUGGGCGGGAAAAUGGCCGGGACACCUUGGACUAUUAUAGUCAGAUCAAGUCUGUGUAUGUGGAGAUGAAUGAUGUGGAUUGUCCAUACUGAGUAUGUGGUCAGUUGGUCACUAGCAGGGACGUAGCUACCAUUAUAAAAAAAGCCCGGGCUUACACAUGAUUGCUGCUGAAAAGGUUGGGCAAGCCCUCAAUACUAUCCAAAUAUAAAGCUUUGCAACCUAUCGGGCUUACACGAAAAAAUUGGCUUGCUAUGCGCCUGAAUAGGUCAACCUGGUUGGUCGUGAAGUCGAGAUGUUUGGCUUCAAGGUCUAGACAGCUGGUUCAGUGUCUACCCAGUAGAUCUCGAAGUCAAGCCUGUUGGUCUAACAUUUAACCAGUUGAUCUAGAGGUUGGAUUUUAGCUCUAAUAGAUUUGUCUUGAGGUCAGGCCAGUUUUAUCUCAAGGUCUAACUAGGUGAUCUUGAGGUCAAGACAGUUAUUCUGUGCCUAACCAGCUGAUCUAGUUGGUUGGU